UCAAAAAGGCACCAAGAAGGGAGAAAACCCAAACUCGGGCGAAAGGAACGAAAAGCAGCGCCUCCAGGAUCAACGUUAGUCGCCCGGGCGACGGCCCCGACGCCCGGGCAACGGACGCCCGAAGCUUAGGCGUCCAAAACUGGCGCCUAAGCCUCACAUGAACCUCAAUUCACGCUUGGGCGAGCUCCCUGCGACGCUUGAGCGUAAUUUCACGUGGAACAGGCCCUAAUUCUGCUCUGAUUUGAUUCUUUUGGACCGGGCCACACUUUGGGACGCGUCUGACAGUAUUUAAAGGACCCUGGGGCUCUAGGUUUUGCAUCCUUGGCAGAAGAGAGCAUAGCAAUACACUCCUAACCAAUUCUUAGUCUUUUCAUUCUUUCUUUUCUUCCAUUAUUCAUAGAGUUC
rnacentral:lncRNA from 1 species